rnacentral:snoRNA from 3 species
CCGUGAGGGGGAUGAUGUAUUACUAUGAAGCUCUCGAGAUGCUGACUUUUCUUGAAUCCGCAUCUGAAGAGGAAUUGGUUGCUG